rnacentral:lncRNA from 1 species
UAAAAAGCAUGGCAGAGUUUAUGUUAUGGAAAGAUAAGGAACGUUUUGUAACUGCUUUUAUUUCUUUGUAAUUUUAAGAACAUAAAACAUUUUUCUGUCUGGCUUUGUGUGUGUGUAAAAUUAAUAACAUUCUUUUGCCUUUUUGUUUACUUUAAUUUAAAAAACCGUAUUUACCUUGACUACUGAAUUUGUAUUUUUUUCUCUUGAUUACAUUUUCAGAGAACACUACAAAUUUACCCAAGAUAAAACUGUUUUUAGAGAUACGCGAUGAUUUAUUUCAAAACUAGUAUUUCAUCAUCUUUGUCAAGCAAUUAUAAGGAACAAGAAGUUGUCAGGAAAAAAAAGAAAUUGGUUUUUGUCUCUUGUAACUGAAGAGAAGCACCUUUAUAGAGCCAAUGAGUGACAACUUCAUAUUUGCCUUCGAUUUGGAGAGCAAAUCCA